ensembl:snoRNA R144.18 ncRNA
CACCUAAGUUACCAUCAUCACACACAUCACCUCAAGUGUCCUUUUUUGAAAUGUUUUGCUCAAAAUACGCCGUUCUCCUGUCCGUACAUCUUUUUCUGCCUUUUCGCUCUACACUUUAUUAUUUUUUGAACUAUCUUCAUUUAUACCCUUCACAAUCACGGUUAACUUUAAUUUUUCCCGUCCUUUUAU